rnacentral:rRNA from 1 species
GACGAACGCUGACGGCGUGCUUAACACAUGCAAGUCGAACGGAGCGAAUGAAAGCUUGCUUUUAUAAGCUUAGUGGCAAACGGGUGAGUAACACGUAGACAACCUGCCGACAGGAUGGGGACAACAUUCCGAAAGGAAUGCUAAUACCGAAUGAAGCGCAGGAGAGGCAUCUCUCCUGCGUGAAAGAUGGCCUCUAUAUAUAAGCUAUCACCUGUUGAUGGGUCUGCGUCUGAUUAGCUGGUAGGUGAGGUAACGGCUCACCUAGGCGACGAUCAGUAGCCGGUCUGAGAGGAUGAACGGCCACAUUGGGACUGAGACACGGCCCAGACUCCUACGGGAGGCAGCAGUGGGGAAUCUUCCGCAAUGGGCGCAAGCCUGACGGAGCAACGCCGCGUGAGUGAAGAAGGUCUUCGGAUCGUAAAGCUCUGUUGAUGGGGACGAACGUGCCUAAUGCG